CCUCGCCUGACUCAUUAGGUGGCUGACUGCGUAUGAAUUCCUCCACGUCAGCUGUGAAGCGAACCUAUAAGAAAAAUUACAUUGAAUUAGUAUUUCAAAAUUUAUACAAAAGUAUAUCAAAAUACUUAAUGAAAAGUAAAAAACUUACAUGUAUAGCCGAGGCUCGGCCCUCGAUCCACCUUUCUAGAUCAGUCUCUUUCUUCUUCUUUACAAUACAAGUCUCAUUGAAUAGCUCAUCUUACUUCAUUGGCAUCAUAAAGCUGUCUGGUGGCUUUGGUGAUUAUCCUCGUGGUACUCUUGGGAUGAACUUGGAUAUAGAGAAUAACUUGAAUAUAGUACCU
rnacentral:lncRNA from 1 species